UUAAAUUUGAGAGUUUGAUCCUGGCUCAGGAUGAACGCUGGCGGCGUGCUUAACACAUGCAAGUCGAACGAAGCAAUGAGACGGAAGCCUUCGGGUGGAAGUUUCAUUGACUUAGUGGCGGACGGGUGAGUAACGCGUGGGUAACCUGCCUCAUACAGGGGGAUAACAGUUGGAAACGACUGCUAAGACCGCAUAAGCCU
rnacentral:rRNA from 1 species